rnacentral:lncRNA from 1 species
AUUAACUGUGGCCUACUUGUAUGGUGUAUGAGGCAUAUAUUCAUAUUGCUUGAUUGCCAUGUCAACCCCCAUUCAUAACAAAUGUAUCCCUCUCCCAUGAAAUGUAUAAUAUUCUUUCAUUCUUUAUUCAUUUGUUAAUACAAGAAAUAAAAUGAAUACCCGAUAACCAUUUCAAAACAAGACCAAAACCUCGAUCCAACGUCGAGUAAUCAUUUUUUUUAAAACCU